rnacentral:lncRNA from 13 species
UUAAUGACAGAGAAAUAAAUGAAGCAGCUCUCGCACAAGUAUACCUUUCAACAACUAUUCUUCUUAGCUUAUUAUUAAAUACUCUUCUUUAUUGUAGCGCAGGACAACUUAUUAUAGAGCAAUGUAAUAAAGUACAUCAUGCUGUUUGCGAUCUUGAAUGGUACAAAUUGGAAGCAAAAAAAGCGAGAAAUAUUAUUUUAUUAAUGAUGCAAACCAGCCACCCAUUCUGCAUGACUGCUGGAAAUAUUAUUCCAUUAACAAUGGCAACCUUUGUUAGCGUAUUAAAGUCGUCAUUUGGAUAUAUAUCGCUUCUAUUGACGAAACAUGGUUGAAGAUUGACAUUUACAUUAGUACUUCUUAUUGUUGCAAAAAAAUCAACGUGUUUAUAGUUAAUGUAGUUACACAGAGAAUUUUUAUAUUCCACAUUUGUUACUAUAGAAAUAAAGUUUUAUAGUAUUUAU